UACGAAGGGGGCUAGCGUUGCUCGGAAUUACUGGGCGUAAAGCGCACGUAGGCGGACUCUUAAGUCGGUGGUGAAAUCCUGGAGCUCAACUCCAGAACUGCCUUCGAUACUGAGAGUCUCGAGUCCGGAAGAGGUGAGUGGAACUCCGAGUGUAGAGGUGAAAUUCGUAGAUAUUCGGAAGAACACCAGUGGCGAAGGCGGCUCACUGGUCCGGUACUGACGCUGAGGUGCGAAAGCGUGGGGAGCAAACAGG
rnacentral:rRNA from 1 species